rnacentral:lncRNA from 1 species
UGUUUCUUCUUUUUCCUUUUUACAGAGAGAGUAUCAGAGAGUGGAAAGAGAAGAGAGGUGAUUGGUGGAGCGCGGUGGAUGUGUGUUGCGUGUUUAUGAGUUGUUUUUUUUAGAGAAGAGGUUUUAAGAGUAUUUAUAUAAUGGUGUUUUUUAUUCUUACAGAGAAAGUGUUUUGUUGUAAUAAUGGGGGGCUUAACGUUCAAGUUUGUAACCAAUACUUUUUCAAUAGCUGUCUGUCCUUAGUUCUAAAAUGUUCCUUUGCCUUUAACUUUAACGUGACUUUUG